rnacentral:rRNA from 1 species
UGAGCAAUCUGCCCUUCUCUUCGGAAUAAGCGUGGGAAACCGCGUCUAAUGCCGAAUACGACCUCCUUUCGCAUGAUCGGAGGUGGAAAGCUCCGGCGGAGAAGGAUGAGCUCGCGGCCUAUCAGCUAGUUGGUGUGGGUAAUGGCCCACCAAGGCGACGACGGGUAGCCGGCCUGAGAGGGCGACCGGCCACACUGGGACUGAGACACGGCCCAGACUCCUACGGGAGGNAGCG